GACGAACGCUGGCGGCGUGCCUAAUACAUGCAAGUUGAGCGCUGAAGGUUGGUACUUGUACCGACUGGAUGAGCAGCGAACGGGUGAGUAACGCGUGGGGAAUCUGCCUUUGAGCGGGGGACAACAUUUGGAAACGAAUGCUAAUACCGCAUAACAACUUUAAACACAAGUUUUAAGUUUGAAAGAUGCAAUUGCAUCACUCAAAGAUGAUCCCGCGUUGUAUUAGCUAGUUGGUGAGGUAAAGGCUCACCAAGGCGAUGAUACAUAGCCGACCUGAGAGGGUGAUCGGCCACAUUGGGACUGGGACACGGCCCAAACUCCUACGGGAGGCAGCAGUAGGGAAUCUUCGGCAAUGGACGAAAGUCUGACCGAGCAACGCCGCGUGAGUGAAGAAGGUUUUCGGAUCGUAAAACUCUGUGGGUAGAGAAGAACGUUGGUGAGAGUGGAAAGCUCAUCAAGUGACGGUAACUACCCAGAAAGGGACGGCUAACUACGUGCCAGCCGCCGCAGUAA
rnacentral:rRNA from 1 species